rnacentral:lncRNA from 12 species
AGAUAUUUGAAUGGACAUUUCCUCCCCUCAAUUUUAGCACCCUCAUAUAAUUCAUUUGCAGUAAUGUUCUUACAGGAAUAAUCAACAAUUAAUACUCUGUCUCUACGGUUCUCUCUAACCACCAGAUGCUAUUGAGGCUUAAUGGGUCUGAACAAAAGAAAAAGAACUUUGGUGGGGAAAGAUGUCUUUCAGAAUCCUACUUUGAACCAGAAGAAUCUAUUCUCUUGAGACUGUUGAAGAGAAGAUAUGGCUGUUAUCCUGGUGACCCAUGAAUUGCCCAAGGAUUCACUAAAUUAAGAGCCAAGGUACCAAUUUUUGUUUUGUUUUUUCUUUCUCUUUUCCUCCCUUCCUUCUUUCCUUUCUUUCUUUCUUUUUUUUUUUUUUUUUUUUUUUUGAUAAAAAACUGCAGUAAGUUUUUUGCAACCUUUUAGAUUGAGGAUGUAAAAUGUAAAUGCAUUUCAUUUCUUGUUGAAGAUGAGUGCAAAACAAAAUAAAACAAAACCCUGAGUUUGAUUCCUUAAAAGA